CGGAGGCGGUGCUGGGGCUCGCGCCCUCGGGAGAGCCGCCUUCGUCCCGCGAGCAUUCGGGGCCCGCCUCCUCCUCGUACUCGGUCAGGCAAUCGGACUCCUCCCCUGGAAGCGGGGAGCAGGUGGAGGGAGACCAGCAUGUGCCGGGUCAAGAACUACACCUCCCAGCAUGCCAUGGGCAAGGGAACCACACCUCCCAGCACAUCGGUAACUUCAGAAGCCGCUUCCCAACAUGCCAUGGGCCCCAAACACCACUGUAUGGACUCAAUUUCCCAGCAUACUCUGGUCUAGGACUCCGUUUCUCCGUAUGUUCAAGAUAUGGACUCCAUCCGUCAGCAGGCCCUGACCCCCAGAACCAAGCUCGCCGAUAAGGCCUCCGCCCCUCA